GUUGCAGUUAAAAAGCUCGUAGUUGGAUUUCUGCGGGGGCGGGGCGGCCGACCUCAACUCGAGGUUCGAGCUAGCACUUCCCCUGCAUCCUGCCGCGAACCGUGCUACCAUUAGUUUGGUGGCGCUGGGGAUCGGCUCGUUUACUUUGAGAAAAAUAGAGUGUUCAAAGCAGGCCACACGCCUUGAAUAAGUUAGCAUGGAAUAAUGAUAAAGGACUUCGGUUCUAUUUUGUUGGUGUUCGGGACUGAAGUAAUGAUUGAUAGGGACAGUUGGGGCGAUCAGUAUUCCAAAGCGAGAGGUGAAAUUCUUAGACCUUCGGAAGACUAACAGCUGCGAAAGCGUUCCGCAAGGAUGUUCCCUUUGAUCAAGAACGAAAGUUGGGGGAUCGAAGACGAUCAGAUACCGUCGUAGUCUCAACUAUAAACUAUACCAGCUAGGGAUCGGCCAACGUUUACUUAUAUCGACUUGGUCGGCACCUUAUGAGAAAUCAAAGCAUCUGGGUUCCGGGGGGAGUAUGGUCGCC
rnacentral:rRNA from 1 species